rnacentral:rRNA from 1 species
CCUACGGGUGGCUGCAGUCGAGAAUCAUUCACAAUGGGGGAAACCCUGAUGGUGCGACGCCGCGUGGGGGAAUGAAGGUCUUCGGAUUGUAAACCCCUGUCAUGUGGGAGCAAAUUAAAAAGAUAGUACCACAAGAGGAAGAGACGGCUAACUCUGUGCCAGCAGCCGCGGUAAUACAGAGGUCUCAAGCGUUGUUCGGAAUCACUGGGCGUAAAGCGUGCGUAGGCUGUUUCGUAAGUCGUGUGUGAAAGGCGCGGGCUCAACCCGCGGACGGCCCAUGAUACUGCGAGACUAGAGUAAGGGAGGGGGAACCGGAAGUCUCGGUGUAGCAGUGAAAUGCGUAGAUAUCGAGAGGAACACUCGUGGCGAAGGCGGGUUCCUGGACAUUAACUGACGCUGAGGCACGAAGGCCAGGGGAGCGAAAGGGAUUAGAUACCCUUGUAGUC